AAACCAUGCAUCGGGUAUUUUCUAAUUAAUUCUUUGAAUCGCUCUCAAGCUUCAUACAAUGUCUCAUCCUCAGAUUGCUGAAAAGAGGUAAUAUCGUUCAUUAAUAC
rfam:Gossypium raimondii chromosome 8, whole genome shotgun sequence.